rnacentral:rRNA from 1 species
UCACGCUGGCGGCGUGCCUCAGACAUGCAAGUCGAACGAGAAAGUUCCCUUCGGGGAAUGAGUAAAGUGGCGCACGGGUGAGUAACACGUAGGUAAUCUACCUUCGGGUGGGGAAUAACGCAGGGAAACUUGCGCUAACACCGCAUAAUGCAGCGGCACCACAUGGCGACAGUUGUUAAAGCGGGGGAUUUUAGGACCUCGCGCCUGAAGAGGAGCCUGCGGCAGAUUAGCUAGUUGGUAAGGUAACGGCUUACCAAGGCGACGAUCUGUAACCGGCCUGAGAGGGCGGUCGGUCACACUGACACUGACAUACGGGUCAGACUCCUACGGGAGGCAGCAGUCGGGAAUUUUGGGCAAUGGGCGAAAGCCUGACCCAGCAACGCCGCGUGAAGGAUGAAAUCCCUCGGGAUGUAAACUUCGCAAGAAUAGGAAGAAUGAACGAGCGCUAAUACCGUUCGUGAUGACGGUACUAUUUGUAAGCUCCGGCUAACUCCGUGCCAGCAGCCGCGGUAAUACGGGGGGAGCAAGCGUUGUUCGGAUUUACUGGGCGUAAAGGGCGCGUAGGCGGCCAGCGCAAGUCAGUUGUGAAAUCUCCGGGCUUAACUCGGAAAGGUCAACUGAUACUGCGCGGCUAGAGUGCAGAAGGGGCAACUGGAAUUCUCGGUGUAGCGGUGAA